UCUCCUCGUCUCCAUGCUCGCCGAUCUCUCUCCCCCGCUCGAGACCCACCUGAGGCCGGAGACAGCUUCCCUAGAAGCGUAGAAGGCGCUGAAGUAGUGCAUCCUGGGGGAUGGUGGAGGCAAGCCGGAUGGAUGGCCACGGUAACCCUAGAUCCUGUCGCCGCCGCUGAGCUCUUUCCGGCCGCCGCUGAGCUCUUUCCGGCCGCCUCUCCUCGUGCUGCUCGUCAAGCGUCCGGCCAUAGGAGGCGCCACGACGAGGCACAAUAGGGCGGAUCUGACCAAGAGCUUCACAUGGCGCCCCUCCAAAUCAAAGCGGCCAAGCCGUGCGUAUGGUGGGAGGAGGCGCCACAGCGCGACGGUGAGGCUUGGCACGCCGGAGCUACGCCCAGGUGGACUACGCAUGAGCGAAGUCCCUGGCCUCCGCAGCGCGGGCGAGGAGCAGCGCUAGCUGAUGAGGUGUGCGCUCCGCCGGCUAUCUAGGGUUGCCACGGCCAGGAAUAGGUGCCCCCGUUCCUCGCGCCCGUGCGUCCUUCUCCCGGACACCAUGGCGUUGGGGACGAAUCAUGUGUGAACGUAGAGCAGCAGUACACGCUGGAUGCGAGCUCGUGCACUCGCUUGAGGGCGAGUUCGGCCAGUGCAUAUGACCCCAAGGUCCUCAGUGUGAACUGUUCCAGGAAACUACUGUGUGCCGAUUCUUUAUUGAUGCUCAUGAAGCAGCUGCCGGCCAAGCAGGGAUAUUUGUGUUGUGACAGACUGCUCCUGGAAGAAAAAGAGGACGAAGGUAUCGCUGCCAGCAGGAGCUCCUUCUAUUGACGCUGUUAUGAUAUUCUAUGGAGAAGUUGCGUUCGACGAGGGUUCUGAUCAGAUGCACGAGGGCUUGGUUGCAGCGGAUAUUUAAUUUUGUUUACUGGAAAAUUACCAUGAGGAAUUAUUCACAAGCUUAUCUUGUGGUCUGUAGGUGUUGAACAUACUCCAUCAUGAAUAAGGGGCUGGAAAAGAACAGGCAAGUCAAGUGGCUGAUUUUUGCAGCAGAGGCGUUCACGAGGCUAAAAGGUUAGGCCAGGAACAACCUUAGUUGAGGCAUUACUACAUAAAUAUGAAGGACCAUCUUACCAGCUGUUGUAAAUACAUGAAGAUUAGUUUUAGGGCUUUGGAUCAUAAUACGGACUACAUAGAUGAAUUCCAAGAAACGAGUCCAAGUUCUUUCAGCUUGCAGUUUUCCAAAUAAACUCCUCCACCUAGCAUCACAGUUUGAGAACAUCCUCGAAAAAACAGUUUGAGAAAUUGGAAUAUACUGAGGAAGGUUACGAAGAAGAGCUUAAGUUUAUUGAGAAGGCUGGAAAUUUUAUUCACUUGCUUGUUGCUUUAUUGUGAAGCAAUCAAGCGUUGCAGCUGACAAGAAAAAAUCCCAGAGGUGGCCGGGUGCAUUGUUCCAACUUCAUAGGCUGUUGGACGACAGCAGCUGCUUGGCGGCGGCAGUGGGUGGAUGACCGUGGUCUCAGCUGAUGGAAUAUGGUGGCCACGAAUCAACCAGCAGGAGGUUCCAUUGCAUGGCAGGUCAAUUGAUGCCAUAGCAUUAUUUGCACAUUUGUGUGUUACACUGUUGGUUACUUUAAAUGUUAACCUCCAUUGUAUUUGACUGCAUGCCGGUAUAUUGGCUCCGUUCCAUGGUGGGUUAUGGCAAAAUGGUAUUUUGUUCCUGUCAUGUCAAUUGGUGAAUGUAUAGGAAUAUACCGAUGUAGAAUGUUUAUUACUUUGUUAUUUUCAGCAACUGAUGUGCAUGUUCACAUGUUAGAACAUGGAUAGGCACUUCUGGAUUAUGCCGAAAGUAUUUAAUUUGAAGCAUAUGUUGCUUACAAUUUGAGAUGAUUCCGUGUGCAACUAUUAGAGCAGAGAAGGACCAAUGUUUUGUGCAUACGACCAUGGCUGCCAAAGUUACUUAUAUGCUUGCUUGACUUGGUGGAGUUUUAUGUGCCAUUUGGUGUUAGCUUCCCUAAUUCUCUUAUGGACUUUUCGGCAGGCUGCUACAAAGGAGCAUGCUUCUUAGUUUUUUUUUUCUUUGGCACAGCUGAACCUUUUUAUUCUAAGCAUGUUUCACUUCCUGCUUACCAUUUUUAUUUGUAAAAGCUGAAACUAAUUUUUUCAGGUUGUGGGAGCUGUUCAUAACUUAACAGAUGUUUGCGAUGGUAUGAGACGGGGAGUAGGACCAUGAAUUAUUUGAAUUGUGGCAAUUCGCCUGCUUGCUAUGAAUAAACACUGAUCCCAGCCUAUGUUGUUGCCCCUCAUCUUCUCGUGAUUUUUCUCUGCAUGCUUAAUUAGUCAAGCUAUAAUUUUACUAAUAAGUAACAUAUUUCACUCGUACCCCAUUCAGAUGAAUCUUUUCUUCUUCGUUUGUUUUUCUAUUAGAUUUGUAUCUUGUCCUAUAACUGUGCCCACCAACAUAUAGAGAUUCUACUAUUUAAAAGGCUACUUAUUCUGUUGUUCCAUCUAUGUUAAUGGUCUGGGCAUACAUAUCACUGUUUAGGCUAUAGAAUUGUUGGAUCUCCAUGCCAGUAUGAUUUCUAGCUUACGCGCAAAUU